rnacentral:rRNA from 1 species
CACGGGGGGAGCAAGCGUUGUUCGGAAUCACUGGGCGUAAAGGGCGUGUAGGCGGUCAAGUAAGUGGAAUGUGAAAUGCCCCGGCUCACCCGGGGACCUGCAUCCCAAACUGCUUGGCUUGAGUAUGGGAGAGGAUGAGGGAAUUCCUGGUGUAGCGGUGAAAUGCGUAGAUAUUGGGAAGAACACCGAUGGCGAAGGCAGCCAUCUGGACCGACACUGACGCUGAGGCGCGAAAGCGUGGGGAGCAAACAGG